rnacentral:pre_miRNA from 11 species
UUGGGUGGGCAGCUGUUAAGACUUGCAGUGAUGUUUAGCUCCUCUCUACGUGAACAUCACAGCAAGUCUGUGCUGCUGCCUGCCCCCAU